rnacentral:rRNA from 1 species
UGGCGAACGGGUGAGUAACACGUGGGCAACCUGCCCAAAANAGGGGGAUAACACUUGGAAACAGGUGCUAAUACCGCAUAACCAUAGUUACCGCAUGGUAACUAUGUAAAAGGUGGCUAUGCUACCGCUUUUGGAUGGGCCCGCGACGCAUUAGCUAGUUGGUGGGGUAAAGGCUUACCAAGGCAAUGAUGCGUAGCCGAACUGAGAGGUUGAUCGGCCACAUUGGGACUGAGACACGGCCCAAACUCCUACGGGAGGCAGCAG